rnacentral:rRNA from 1 species
CGUGCUUAACACAUGCAAGUCGUACGAGAACACCCUAGCUUGCUAGGGUAAGUAAAGUGGCGCACGGGUGAGUAACGCGUGGGUAAUCUACCUUCGAAUUGGGGAUAACGUUGCGAAAGCGACGCUAAUACCGAAUAACAUCCUUAGAAUCUCGGUUUUUAGGAUCAAAGGUGGCCUCUACAUGUAAGCUACUGUUUGAAGAUGAGCCCGCGUACCAUUAGCUUGUUGGUAGGGUAAUGGCCUACCAAGGCAACGAUGGUUAGCUGGUCUGAGAGGAUGAUCAGCCACACUGGAACUGACACACGGUCCAGACUCCUACGGGAGGCAGCAGUGAGGAAUUUUGCGCAAUGGGGGAAACCCUGACGCAGCAACGCCGCGUGAGUGAUGAAGGCUUUCGGGUCGUAAAGCUCUGUCAAGUGGGAAGAAUCUGCAGUAUGUUAAUAUCAUAUUGCACUGACGGUACCACUGAAGGAAGCACCGGCUAACUCCGUGCCAGCAGCCGCGGUAAUACGGGGGGUGCAAGCGUUAUUCGGAAUCAUUGGGCGUAAAGAGCACGUAGGCGGCUUGGUAAGUCAGAUGUGAAAGCCCGGGGCUUAACCCCGGAAGUGCAUUUGAUACUGUCAAGCUUGAGUAUGGGAGAGGGAAGUGGAAUUCCUGGUGUAGAGGUGAAAUUCGUAGGUAUCAGGAGGAACACCGGUGGCGAAGGCGACUUCCUGGACCAAUACUGACGCUGAGGUGCGAAGGCGUGGGUAGCAAACAGGAUUAGAUACCCUGGUAGUCCACGCAGUAAACGUUGUUCACUAGGUGUAGCGGGUAUUGACCCCUGCUGUGCCGCAGUUAACGCAUUAAGUGAACCGCCUGGGGAGUACGGCCGCAAGGUUAAAACUCAAAGGAUUUGACGGGGGCCCGCACAAGCGGUGGAGCAUGUGGUUUAAUUCGACGCAACGCGAAGAACCUUACCUGGAUUUGACAUCCCGGGAAUCCUAUCGAAAGACUGGAGUGCCCUUCGGGGAACCCGGGAAACAGUGCUGCAUGGCUGUCGUCAGCUCGUG